rnacentral:rRNA from 1 species
AUACGGAGGAUCCGAGCGUUAUCCGGAUUUAUUGGGUUUAAAGGGUGCGUAGGCGGACGCUUAAGUCAGUUGUGAAAGUUUGCGGCUCAACCGUAAAAUUGCAGUUGAUACUGGGUGUCUUGAGUACAGUAGAGGCAGGCGGAAUUCGUGGUGUAGCGGUGAAAUGCUUAGAUAUCACGAAGAACUCCGAUUGCGAAGGCAGCUUGCUGGACUGUAACUGACGCUGAUGCUCGAAAGUGUGGGUAUCAAACAGGAUUAGAUACCCUGGUAGUCCACACAGUAAACGAUGAAUACUCGCUGUUUGCGAUAUACAGUAAGCGGCCAAGCGAAAGCGUUAAGUAUUCCACCUGGGGAGUACGCCGGCAACGGUGAAACUCAAAUGAAUUGGCGGGG